CUUGUUCUCCCUCCAUCCGAAAUUACUUGUCAUUAAAAUGGAUGUAUCUAGAUGUAUUUUAGUUCUAGACACAUCCAUUUUGAUGACAAGUAAUUCCGGACGGAGGGAGUACUUG
rfam:Triticum aestivum genome assembly, contig: Triticum_aestivum_CS42_TGACv1_scaffold_530097_6DL